AUUGUAUGCUUUGUGUGUGAUUAUCUGACUCUGUAUGUGAGUAUCUGGUGUUGUGUGUGAAUACCUGAUUUGGUUAUACUCUGUUUGUUGAAAAACUAUUUUUUUAAGCCGGUUCAUUGAUUAUGGCUUCUAACACAAAUGCUGGUACCUCCUCCUAUGUAGACUCUUCUAGCCCCCUUUUUGUAUAUUCUUCUGAUGUCCCUGGGGUUUCUCUUGUUCCCACUCCCUUCUCGGGUAGUGGUUAUGGGGGCUGGAGGCGUAAGAUGAUUGUUGCCUUCUCCGCUAAAA
rnacentral:lncRNA from 1 species